rnacentral:snRNA from 1 species
UUACUCGUUUCGGCGGUACAUAUACUAAAGUUGGAAGGAUACAGAAAUUAGUAUGGUCCCUGCGCAAAGAUGACACGCAAAAUCGUCUAGUUGCACUUAGUUUU